UCUAGGCGCGCUUGGUAUAAAUGCUAAACCCCACCAAGGCACCAUGCAUUCGUUCUUGACUAGCGUGUCUGACACGCAGUUUUCAAUCUCAAGACGUUAGGACUGUUAUGAUAAAAAUACGUGAGAUACAGUGGAAUUAAAGCGUGCCACGGAACUGUCUUUGAUACGGUGCUGAUACUAGCUCCAUGGAUAUAUCGGAUAAUAAUUUGCCGGCCGCUUCAAAUUUUGCCUGGAAGAUAUAAAAGACCAUUUCGACACUCCAAAUGAAUAUGAAGAUUGCAUGAAUGAGUAUAAAGUUCUGCCUGUGGAUAGUGUAACGAAGAAGGUCAAAACUAGCGGGCAGUCUCCAGUCGGACUACUUCGUCGACGGCAUUACCAACGUAACUCGAGACUAGUAAAACUACUCAUCAUUGGACAAGGAAGGACGAGCUAAAACCACUCAAAAUUGCAAGACUAAGAUUUUGGUGGUUUUUUUUGUGCAAAACGGCUGCAAGUGUUCCAGGCCGGAUUCACAUUGCACGAACUUGUGAUUUUCCUUCAACUUUUCUUGGACACCAUGGAAAAGACCUACACAUUUCUUCAGGAUGUUGAGUUCUUGCCGAUCAAGAAUUUCUAGGACUGCAUGCUAGGCAUUGAAACCCAGGAAAAAGAUUGAGAAAUAAAUUGCACUGCGAACCUUGUCAAAACAUUUGCUUUAAAUGUGAAACAUUAUCAUUGAAACGUUUAUAUUGUUACAUGUAACAUUACUUUGUGCAAACAUUAUGUACAAGAAAAAAAUGGUUCUUGACUUUCGCCUCAACACUAAGAAAUUGUAUACGAGAAUGCAUAAAAUUCUAUUUGAAAAACGGUGUAGCAUACUGUAUAAAAAAUAUGGUUAUAUUGACUUUCACGUAAAGGUACGAAUGAUGCCUAAAAUUCCAUUUAAGAAACGGUGUAGGGCCUACGAAAAAAUUCUGUAUGAGAAAAAAAAAUGGUUCUCGACUUACGUAAGCAUUGUACGAAAUGUAUAAGAAAAUACAUACAAUCAUCAUUGAGAAACGGUGUAGUAAAGUUGCAACUGUGUAAAAA